AAGAGGGGAAAAGAGAGGGAGGGGUGGGCAGUGGAGGAGAGGGGUGGUUGCAGGGGAGCGUAGGGGUUGGGCAGGGAGGGGGAUGGCAGGGGAAGGGGGGUUUGUGCAUCUGCCAAAUAGCCUCCUCCCUGCCCAAACCCUACUUGCGCCUACAAAGACCCCCCACCCCUGCACACCUCUGCCUACCCCUCCCCUCCCAUCCCUUACACA
rnacentral:pre_miRNA from 1 species